rnacentral:sRNA from 1 species
AAAUUUAUUCUUUCCAUUUUUAGUGACACUCGCUUGGCAUGUAUACUUUGGGGGAAGUAUGCUGAGAUUGUUGACCAAGCUUUUGACUAAUUAUAAGAGUUAGAGAUGGAUUAGGAGUGUUUAGAUAACACUUAUACCCAUUUUCUCCCAAAAGAGGUUAAAACCAACAAAAAUUAGCUUAGAAGCAGU